GCUCGUAUUUUUUCUAGUCGAGUCGAGUCCGAAUCGAGCUCGAACUGUUUGGCUCGUUGUCAAUACUCCUAUUUAGUGGUGCAACUCAGUGAUGGAAGACGGUAAAAAGCUGAAGGUUACUAGUGUGGUUUUCAAUGAUACAAAACUUUAGAUGGCUUAAGGCUAAAAUCCAGAUGGUUUAAUACGAAAAAAUUGUUUGCAAGUAAUAGUAGAAUUGCUUUAUGUUGACAUUUUCGUCUAAAUUUCGAUGUAACCCAAAUUCCUCUCAAAAUUGGCCAUAACAGCUUAUCUUGACAAGCUUUCUGUAAAUGCACUGGAAGACAAAAAUGGUGGGGAACAUGUGUGACAAUCUGAGGUUAUCCUUGCAUCUAAUUUAGGUUUCCUAUACCAUAUAUGAUAUAUCAACGUCUUAGUUAGCAUAAUAGACGAUGAGCUAUGUGUUAUUAUCUUGAAAGUAUCAACGCUUGGUUUUUAGAGCUUUUUUAAUUAAACCAGGUCUUCUAUGGCUACUAUAAUAGCGCAGUAACGAAUUCUGAGAUAAAGAGCAUUAUUGUACCAUGACACUAAUAUUGUGAUUAGUGAUGUGUUGCUAUGUUUUUUAAAGGAAAAUAUUUCAGAUGUUCAAUCACAAUUUUCAUAUUUGAAAUAGCUCAAUGUUAAUUAUACAACAUUAUUGGGAAAGUUGGAUGUAUGCAUAUAAUUUGUCCUAAAAGAUAUGUUAUCUCCAUUACCCCUCUAAUAUGGAUAAUAUGCUAUAUAUUAGUAUAACAUUAUUUGCAG
rnacentral:lncRNA from 1 species